UGGUGGUGUGAAUUGUCUGGUUAAUUCCGUUAACGAACGAGACCACAACGUGCUAAAUAGUAUAACCAUUUUUUAAUGGGGAAAUAACUUCUUAGACGGACUAUUCGCUUUUAGCGGAUGGAAGUUUGUGGCAACAACA
rnacentral:rRNA from 1 species